rnacentral:tRNA from 1 species
GGGAUGUUUUGGGAUCUCCAUUUGGUAGGACUCAUAAUCCUUUGGUCCACGGUUCAAGUCCGUGUGGGCCCACCA